CAGCCGCCGCGGAAAUACAGAGGGUGCGAGCGUUAAUCGGAUUUACUGGGCGUAAAGCGUGCGUAGGCGGCUUUUUAAGUCGGAUGUGAAAUCCCUGAGCUUAACUUAGGAAUUGCAUUCGAUACUGGGAAGCUAGAGUAUGGGAGAGGAUGGUAGAAUUCCAGGUGUAGCGGUGAAAUGCGUAGAGAUCUGGAGGAAUACCGAUGGCGAAGGCAGCCAUCUGGCCUAAUACUGACGCUGAGGUACGAAAGCAUGGGGAGCAAACAGGAUUAGAUACCCGUGUAGUCCCUGUCUCUUAUAC
rnacentral:rRNA from 1 species